rnacentral:rRNA from 1 species
UACGGAGGAUCCGAGCGUUAUCCGGAUUUAUUGGGUUUAAAGGGUGCGCAGGCGGGAGAUUAAGUCGGCGGUGAAAUUUUGCAGCUUAACUGUAAAAGUGCCUUCGAAACUGGUUUCCUUGAGUGUAGAUGAAGUAGGCGGAAUUUGUGGUGUAGCGGUGAAAUGCAUAGAUAUCACGAGGAACUCCGAUUGCGCAGGCAGCUUACUAAACUACUACUGACGCUCAGGCACGAAGGCGUGGGGAUCAAACAGGAUUAGAUACCCCUGUAGUCCCU